AGCAGCCGCGGUAAUUCCAGCUCCAAUAGCGUAUAUUAAAGUUGUUGUGGUUAAAAAGCUCGUAGUUGAACCUGGGCCUCGCGCCGACCGGUCCGCCUCACCGCGUGCACUGGUGCGGCCGGGGCUUUCACUUGGGGAUUCGCAUGUCCUUCACUGGGCGUGCGCGGAACCAGGACUUUUACUGUGAAAAAAUUAGAGUGUUCAAAGCAGGCCUAUGCUCGAAUACAUUAGCAUGGAAUAAUAGAAUAGGACGUGUGGUUCUAUUUUGUUGGUUAUGGGACCGCCGUAAUGAUUAAUAGGGACAGUCAGGGGCAUCAGUAUUCAAUUGUCAGAGGUGAAAUUCUUGGAUUUAUUGAAGACUAACUACUGCGAAAGCAUUUGCCAAGGAUGUCUUCAUUAAUCAGGAACGAAAGUUAGGGGAUCGAAGACGAUCAGAUACCGUCGUAGUCUUAACCAUAAACUAUGCCGACUAGGGAUCGGACGAUGUUACUUUUUGACUCG
rnacentral:rRNA from 1 species